GGAGGAUGCAAGCGUUAUCCGGAAUGAUUGGGCGUAAAGCGUCCGCAGGUGGCUGUGUAAGUCUGCUGUCAAAGAGCGAAGCUCAACUUCGUAAAGGCAGUGGAAACUACACGGCUAGAGUGCGUUCGGGGCAGAGGGAAUUCCUGGUGUAGCGGUGAAAUGCGUAGAGAUCAGGAAGAACACCGGUGGCGAAGGCGCUCUGCUAGGCCGCAACUGACACUGAGGGACGAAAGCUAGGGGAGCGAAUGGG
rnacentral:rRNA from 1 species